rnacentral:rRNA from 1 species
UACGUAGGGUGCAAGCGUUGUCCGGAAUUAUUGGGCGUAAAGAGCUCGUAGGCGGCCUGCCGCGUCUGCUGUGAAAACUCAGGGCUUAACCCUGAGCUUGCAGUGGGUACGGGCAGACUAGAGGGCGGUAGGGGAGACUGGAAUUCCUGGUGUAGCGGUGAAAUGCGCAGAUAUCAGGAGGAACACCGGUGGCGAAGGCGGGUAUCUGGGCCGUAACUGACGCUGAGGAGCGAAAGCAUGGGGAGCGAACAGG